CCUACGGGUGGCAGCAGUUCGGAAUCUUGGUCAAUGGGCGCGAGCCUGAACCAGCAAAGUAGCGUGAGGGAUGACUGCCCUCCGGUUUUUAAACUUCGUUUAUAGAGGAAUAAAGUGAGGCAAGUGUGCCUUUUUGUAUUUACUUUAUUUAUAUGGAUCGUCUCACUCCGUGCCAGCCGACGCGGUCAUACGGUGGGUCCGAUCGUUCUCUGGAUUUAUUGGGUGUAAAGGGAGCGUAGAUGGGUUGUUAAGUCAGUUGUGAAAGAUUGCGGCUCAACCGUAAAAUUGCAAUUGAUACUGGCAGUCGUGAGUGCAGGUGAGGUAGGUGGAAGUCGUGGUGUAGCGGUGAAAUGCUGAGAUAUAACGAAGAACUCC
rnacentral:rRNA from 1 species